rnacentral:rRNA from 1 species
AGCGGUGGAGCAUGUGGUCUAAUUCGAAGCAACGUGAAGACCCUUAUCAGGUCUUGACAUCCUCUGAAAACCCUAGAGAUAGGGCUUCUCCUUCGGGAGCAGAGUGACAGGUGGUGCAUGGUUGUCGUCAGCUCGUGUCGUGAGAUGUUGGGUUAAGUCCCGCAACGAGCGCAACCCUUGAUCUUAGUUGCCAUCAUUAAGUUGGGCACUCUAAGGUGACUGCCGGUGACAAACCGGAGGAAGGUGGGGAUGACGUCAAAUCAUCAUGCCCCUUAUGACCUGGGCUACACACGUGCUACAAUGGACGGUACAAAGAGCUGCAAGACCGCGAGGUGGAGCUAAUCUCAUAAAACCGUUCUCAGUUCGGAUUGUAGGCUGCAACUCGCCUACAUGAAGCUGGAAUCGCUAGUAAUCGCGGAUCAGCAUGCCGCGGUGAAUACGUUCCCGGGCCUUGUACACACCGCCCGUCACACCACGAGAGUUUUAACACCCGAAGUCGGUGGGGUAACCUUUUUGGAGCCAGCCGCCUAAGGUGGGACAGAUGAUUGGG